GCCAGACUCCUACGGGAGGCAGCAGUGGGGGAUAUUGCACAAUGGGGGAAACCCUGAUGCAGCAACGCCGCGUGAGUGAAGAAGUAUUUCGGUAUGUAAAGCUCUAUCAGCAGGGAAGAGAAUGACGGUACCUGACUAAGAAGCCCCGGCUAACUACGUGCCAGCAGCCGCGGUAAUACGUAGGGGGCGAGCGUUAUCCGGAUUUACUGGGUGUAAAGGGAGCGUAGACGGCUGGUCAAGUCUGAAGUGAAAGCCCGGGGCUUAACCCCGGAACGGCUUUGGAAACUGAGCAGCUAGAGUGCUGGAGAGGUAAGCGGAAUUCCUAGUGUAGCGGUGAAAUGCGUAGAUAUUAGGAGGAACACCAGUGGCGAAGGCGGCUUACUGGACAGUAACUGACGUUGAGGCUCGAAAGCGUGGGGAGCAAACAGGAUUAGAUACCCCAGUAC
rnacentral:rRNA from 1 species